UCGGACGUGGUGCACGGUGCACGCCCGCUCUUCCUGAUAACCAAUCCCUCAGUAGAUUGAAGUGGGAAGCCUGGGUUCGACCCCCAGCGUCCGAA